rnacentral:misc_RNA from 1 species
AUUUUGAUAUGCAAUUGGUUUGGUUAGAUUUCUUAAGCUUCUGCUACUGUAAUUGCUUUUUACCAUUUUCAGGUUGUAACAUUUAGGUUGCGUAAUUUUUAUUAACUAAUUCUAUAUUAGUGCAAGUUAAAUAGAUGUAAGUUUCAAGUAUUUUUGACGAGUUUACAACCUAGGGCCUUUACUAAAAUGUUUUUAAUUAUAUGACAAUUUUCUUUGGGGGGGUUAGUCAAUGCAAAGUUAACCACUGCUAUUGGCUUGGGAUAUAUAUAAUUGAUCAAAGUUAAUCAGUAAUUUAGGACCAAUGAUUUUUGGCUUCCAAUUAAGACCAUACUCCCUAAGGCACCUGUAGAGCACAUUCAGAAAAUUGAUGCGGCAUUAUGUUAUGGCUAGAGAAAACAAUUUUUUUUUUCUUCUUAAACUGACCUCAGGAAGUAAUAUUAGAGAAAUCAUGGGCUGUAAAUCCAAACCAUGGCGGCUAGCCAAUGGCAAGCCUCUAUUUUAGGCUCUUAGUUUUCACUGCCGUUUUGGAAAGCUUCAGAUGCACCAUUCUUCACUGAACUUUCUGAUGAUUUCACAACCUCACCUCAAAAUGAUGCGGUAGCCAUGCUUAAGGAGUGGACCCUGCCAUUUCAGGUGAGGUUGCUCAAGUGAUGUUGAGCAUUGAAAUCUUAGUAAUUUUAGCAAAGAUGGUGUAUGAAACUGAAGCUUAUCUAUGAAAUUGGAAGAAAUAAAAGUUUAGUGACAGAUAAAAUUAUCCUCUAAGUUCAGCGACUAACAGUAUGUGAAAAAUAUUGAGUGAUUUUAUUGAAUUAAUAAAAGUUGCUAUUGCUAGUGAUAGAAUUCCAUAGUUCUCUCUUUAGUUUAUAUCUUUUCUGUAUUUGCCCGCUUUAUUAAAAAGAAGUUUUCAUCUUUCAAUUAAAACCUGAUUUGCUUGUUAAUGAUUCCACAAAACUCCAUCCAUUAUUUUAAGGGUUUUGUUGCAUUUGAAGAGUUACCCAAAUUGUAUUCAAAUUGAAGAUCUGUUAAAACACUUUGUAUCAUAAUCAUAUUGGAAUGUGGAAGGGGGUGCGAAUUUUAUUACUAUGCUGGUGAAUGAGAAGGCUUAUUAUUUAUGGUGUCCACAUACUGCAUGUGCUACUGAAGUGAAGAGAGUGAUUUGUGUAGUAGAUUUUUAAAACUGGUCAACGAUCGAAUUAUUUCCAUGCAGCAUGUUGUGACAAUUUCUCUGGUUUAUUUGACAGGUAUUUGGGCAGGAAUGCUUACG